UGUAGCCUGAAGAUUUUAUUUUUUCAACGCUUUGGGCAUUCGUGUCUGUAAUGGAGCUUUGAUACAACAGAUUUUCUCCCCAUACAGCGAUCAGAUCUAGUAAUCUCCCGUAUCGUCCAGCUGGAGCUC